AGGCAGCAGCACGUUUAGGUUUUUGCCAGUUUGAGAUACUUCGGUUUGUGAAGCUGAGCCCUAAGGGACAACGCUCGGUAACGGAGAAAGAGAUCGUAGAUAAAGAAAUAAAAGUGACAAGCGUAAUGGAGGCUCUGGGAGACGACUGUCAGAGACCAGCUCAGGGAUGGCAAUUUCGCCAGGCUGAGGUUGAAUAAUUCAUAGAUCGAAAUUACCCUGCUUUCACCUUUCCAUUUAAACCGGCAUGAUCUGAAUCUCUAAUAAAUUUUCCAAGAUAAAGUAAAAUGCCAGUUUGAGUCUGAAGAGCUUUUAAAACCAGAUGCUGCCUCCCUGAAUCUUGCGGUAUCUUUCCCAAUUAUCCUGCGAGAACCGCACUUCAUCACAAAGCACCAUUACCAGGGAAAAGGACGGUGAUUGCAGUAGUGACAAUAGAAUGCCACCAAACCAUCUCUCGUUCCCCUAAUUUGCUAAGACUGACUGUGUGGUUUUAGUGCCCAUUGUCCAUCACCAUGCCUGGCACUCGCGGAUCUGUCUCGCUCCGGAACAAAAGUGAGGCGGUGUGUGAAAUAAAUACCUGAACUCUGAAAGCCUAGCAGAGCUCAUUCUCCUAGGCUGCAGUGCCUCCUUCGUUUGGUGGGUGUUUUUGCACUUUUUGUAUUUUUUUUGUUUUGUUUUGUUUUUGUUUUCCAAUGCUUACAACCCCAAAUGCCUGUUUGGGAGAAAUGGUGAGCCUGUCGUGGAUUUGGGGUUGAUGCCUUGAUAUAGGAGAGCACGGGCUUGUUCAUUUAUGUCCCCUUUAUUUUCAUGUUUACAAGCAUGUGUUUACUAGAAGGGAGGAAAGAUUCUGUUCUGGGAGAGUAGUUUAAAAAAUGCAGUCAAGACAAAGCCUGUGUCUUUGUUUCUCCUUUGAAACCCCUUUUCAGGUUAGAGAUUCCUUCCGGACAUUCUAAUCCUGGUAUGAUUCAAAAGGAGCUCAGGAGACACCUGCAGUAAUAACUCUGUGCAGCUUUUAUUAAAAGCAUGUAUUUCUGAUGGAGUGAUUAAAGGCAGCUUUGCUGGGACUUCGGUUGUGGGCAUGUCUGCUGGCUCUCUAGUGCAGUCGAAACUGAAGACUUUUUCGGACAGCCUGUGUGGUCCCUUUCAGGGUAACUCUGCCUCCUCCCAUCCCCCGCCAAAAAGUGGCUCACGAAGCCUUGCUGGAGAACAGACCCUGUGCCUUCAUUUACUUCCCAGUAGCAUGAAGACAGUGUGUGGGUUCCUGCUAGUCAACUGACUCAAGUUUGAUUUUCUAAGGCAGGGUUUCCGAGGGAUGCCAGUUCUUGGGGAGGAAGCAGAGGCCACUGCAAGCCUGUGUGACUCUGGAGGGAAACUACCCUCCUCCAGACGGCCUGGCAAGACCCUUCCUAUGGAAAUCGCUCCUGAGGUGUGAGGACGGUGUGGCUCACGGCGGGUGACCAGACGCCUUGGCUCAGAGAAGUGGCGAUAGACAGUACCAAGUGCACAGUAAGAGCUUACAACUCGUCUGCUCGUGAUCGCCAUCGGGAAGAAACCACGCUUCCAAAGGCGAUGAAUUGAUACGUUUCACGUCCAAAGUCACAAGGCAGGGAGGGAGGGAGUAGCGGGCUUCCACGCCUGCUGCCAUCAGCCACGAGAGGACGUUUAUUACUUCCUUGAGAAAAGCUGGCCCCAGAACAGUUAUUCAUGUUUGUUGGCAGUUUCCAAAGGUGAUUACCGCUUUUAGCCUUGGACUAUAGCCGUGCACAGAAGGUUAGGAACAAUAAUUGUGCAGAACAAGGUCAGGCACAACCAAAGAAAAGAUCCUGACGGCAGGGGACCUCCGGUGUCCGCCCAAAGACAGAAGGCACGGAACUACAACUCAGCUUUCAAAACUCAGCCCCAAUGUCACGUCCCCUGCAAAAUCAUUGCUAAUCCCCGAUCGCAAUUCGUCAUUUCUAGAGCUUUUAUUAUACUUUCUCGUGCUAGAUGGUCAAAUUCAUGUUAAUAUCAUUUCCAGAAAUCAUGGGAUUUUUGAUCUCCCUGAAGACACGGCUCUGGAAUUAUUCAGCUCUUGCCUGAUCGUCCCGGCACCUAAACGGAGAGGCUCCUCAGAUAGAAGCAGGACAAAAGAAGUCUUUGCUGAAUUCAACAGACGCCCUGCAUUCACUUACUUUGCCCCUUGCUGCGUUUCAAAAUUACCCACCAACAUCUAUAUGCAAAGAAGCAAGAUGGGGACAGUCUGUGUUUGUAGUCUCAGUCCAAUACACACACCAUGCCAAAGAGAGAAUCGGAUUCCAUUUUGGAGCCGAGGUCUCAGGUCCAAUUUAAUUUGAUCCCCAAAUGACCAAGCUGAUUAAUUGUCAGCUCCAGCCUUUCUUCGAAGGAAACCUUAAUCCCCCGUAAUUUGCCAUGAAAUUAGUGGGAGUUGGCUCUUUGAGGCAUGAAUAGCGUGGGUCCUGUUCAAACCUCCCCGGGCCGUAUUUCGGGGAGGUGGGGAUGGGGCUGGCCGCCCCGAAGAGAAGCAGGUGUAAUGCGGAUUAGGUCACAUGGUGGGAAGGGGGCUGCGGUGGGCAGGCAGCUGGUGAAAUCCCAGGUGUGUGUGAGUUGGCAGGGGUACAAAGAGAGGAGGGCUGCGAACAGCUCAAAGUCCCUGGGCUGUGCAGCUGCCUGUUUGGCACUUGCUUCGGACCCACCUGUCGUGUUGAGGGGCACAACCCACUCCGAGGAGCGGGGAAACAUGAAAGGUCUCCCGUAGCUACCGCACCCCGCCCGGCCCGGGAGGAAGGCAGGGAGCAAGGCUGCCGGGGAGCGGCCAGGCAAAGGCAGGAUCUCCCUCAUGCUCCAUAACCUCCAAAUGCUUAAGUCAGGGCAGGUCUGGCUUUUCUUUCUCAACAGGCAGCCU